rnacentral:rRNA from 1 species
AUUGAACGCUGGCGGCAUGCCUUACACAUGCAAGUCGAACGGCAGCACGGGAGCAAUCCUGGUGGCGAGUGGCGAACGGGUGAGUAAUGUAUCGGAACGUACCUUUCAGUGGGGGAGUAACGUAGCGAAGUUACGCUAAUACCGCAUAUUCUGUGAGCAGGAAAGCAGGGGAUCGCAAGACCUUGCGCUGAUUGAGCGGCCGAUAUCAGAUUAGCUAGUUGGUGAGGUAAAGGCUCACCAAGGCGACGAUCUGUAGCGGGUCUGAGAGGAUGAUCCGCCACACUGGAACUGAGACACGGUCCAGACUCCUACGGGAGGCAGCAGUGGGGAAUUUUGGACAAUGGGCGCAAGCCUGAUCCAGCCAUGCCGCGUGAGUGAAGAAGGCCUCGGUUGUAAG